CAAACUGAAUUUAUGCAAAUCCGUGUUUGUGGUUUGGCUGUGGUCAGCCUCAGGAAACAGAAAUGCUGUAUAACUGCCACAUAGAAUAUAGUUUAAACCUGAGGUUUUACGGAGCGACGCAACAUGCACGGUGCCAUCUCCAGUGAUGCUUAACGGUGCAUCCGGGAUAUGAAAAGAUGACACUGCAAAUUCCCACAAACAUCAUGCAGAAUUCACGGAUUUGCUCACAACAUCAACACCAAAUAAAUCUUUCAAAAAAAGGAAGGACUACUCUUUCUGCCAACAGCAAACACCAAAGCCAACUCAUAUUCAUAAUUACUCAUCUUUUGAAACAUGUUUUGACAUGAAUAACUCAGCAAAGCUGAGUCACUGCCAAACAGUACCAACUUGUGCAAUGGCACUGGAAGAAAUGUGAUAACUACAGAGGCAAACAGCGACUCUGAGAAAAUUGAAUCCACCCUCAUUUGAUCCAGGACUGGAAUGGUUGUUGGUGGAAGAUGGUGCAGAGUCUAAGAGAAUUGACGUAUUAUCUUGGAUCCCAGUGGCAAGGGAACACUUCUGUCCUACAAUAAUCUCUCCCAUCCCCAACAGGAAAAAGAUGGGGAUGAAACCUUGUUACAGCAAUCUCAAACACAGGUGUACUUAUCAUUGGCUUUUCCAGCGACUCCUCUUCCUUCUCACUGGCAGCCAGCACACCUGGCAUCCCGCACCUGCCACUGACUUCCUUUUAACAACUGAUCUGGACAUCAUGAUUUUAUGACCUUGCAAACUAAAACGCGAUCUCUUUACUGUAAUAAAGAAGAAAGAAAAAACCAGCUGCUUCUAUAGGCAUUCUGUAUCCUCACUUAAUUUUCCCUCGAUGUUUAUACCUUCUCUAGACCAGCAUAUUUUUUUGGAAACUCUGACACAUGCUUGAGAAAAAUUUGCCUAUGAAAUUUUGUUUCUGACAAGAAUCAACCCAAAGUUUGUGCUUCGGCCAUAAAAUUCAUGCAGAAAGUUAUUUAUUUUUAAGCUACAUGUAUGUGACUGAAUGGCUUAUAAUCAGCAUUUCUAUUAUGGCUCAAAUGACUUUUGAGGGUUAUUAUUAUUAUUAUUUAGAUUUUAUAUGGAUCUACACACAGUCAUGACAUCUUAGAAUAAAUCUUUCCUGUUCCUGAGAGUGAAAACACUUCCUGGAGGUAUAACUCAUUACUCUCACCCCUAGAUUCCAUGGCCUUGACAACUGCAGGCAUCCUAAGUUAACAUCACAAUUCUUGUCAUUUCUCGAUCAGUCUCCUUAUGGCUUCUUUUGCUCAUCCUUUUUCUCCAAUGGCUUAUAUAUUCACUAUAACAACAUUAUAGAUAAGAUGUGACAAUUUCUAGAGGGUAGGCGUGCCUACCAUAUUCUUCAUGAAUAUCCUUCAUGAAUAAAGAAUUCUAUACUCUUCUGAGCUACAAGAUAUGUAGGAACAAGAAAGAUCUGGGGCCACAGACAGGUGGUUCAUCCACUGGACAUGUGACAAUCAGUUAAGAAAUUAAAACAGCAGAGUUGGCCAGGAGCGGUGGCUCACACCUGUAAUCCCAGCACUUUGGGAGGCUGAGGUCAGGAGUUCAAGACCACCCUGGCCAACAUGG
rnacentral:lncRNA from 1 species